GGGUGAGUAACGCGUAUGCAACCUGCCCGUUUCAGCGGGAUAACCCGGAGAAAUCCGGCCUAAUACCGCAUGUGGCCGAGGGGAGGCAUCUUCUUUCGGCCAAAGGAGGCAACUCCGGAGACGGAUGGGCAUGCGUGACAUUAGCUUGUUGGCGGGGUAACGGCCCACCAAGGCGACGAUGUCUAGGGGUUCUGAGAGGAAGGUCCCCCACACUGGUACUGAGACACGGACCAGACUCCUACGGGAGGCAGCAGUGAGGAAUAUUGGUCAAUGGGCGAGAGCCUGAACCAGCCAAGUCGCGUGAAGGAUGACGGCCCUACGGGUUGUAAACUUCUUUUGUCAGGGAGCAAUUGAGUCCACGUGUGGGCUUAGCGAGAGUACCUGAAGAAAAAGCAUCGGCUAACUCCGUGCCAGCAGCCGCGGUAAUACGGAGGAUGCGAGCGUUAUCCGGAUUUAUUGGGUUUAAAGGGUGCGUAGGCGGAAUAUCAAGUCAGCGGUAAAAAUUCGGGGCUCAACCCCGUCGUGCCGUUGAAACUGAUGUUCUUGAGUGGGCGAGAAGUAUGCGGAAUGCGUGGUGUAGCGGUGAAAUGCAUAGAUAUCACGCAGAACUCCGAUUGCGAAGGCAGCAUACCGGCGCCCAACUGACGCUGAAGCACGAAAGCGUGGGUAUCGAACAGGAUUAGAUACCCUGGUAGUCCACGCAGUAAACGAUGAAUGCUAAUUGUCCGGA
rnacentral:rRNA from 1 species